CCCUGCGUGGUGCGUGAUACCCCAAAGCCCCCCGCCUUGAAGUGGGGAAGAAAUAGCCACCAAGUCCCCCCGAUCCUCCUCCGUGUGUCCCCUUCGGCAACCCCGAGCUGCGGCAGGAGUGGGGGGGAGGCUGCCUGCCCCCUGACUGCGCGGGGCUGCCAGCCACGGAGCAGCUUAAAGCAAAUCUGCCUGCAGACCCGGCGGUCUGCUGCCGCUGAAAUCCCUAAUUAUGCAAAGAGAGUUGGUGAAUUUGCAACAGCAAGAGUGGUAAACUUGAGCAACACUUGGAGCCCAGAGGGCCCAGCUCUGAGCCCAGUGCCCAGACCUGCCAUCUCUUUGGCUCUCAGGGUGGUGGCAACAGCAGCAAACUCUGCAAAACGGGAAGCACGCCUUUCAGAGAUGGGGGGCAGCAGGAGCAGCAGCAGUGAGCUGAGAAAAUUAGCCAAAGCCCCUCGGAUGUUGCUGUGCAUUCGUGAGGUCAAUGGACAGCUUUGGGAUGGAUUUGUUAACAUGGAAAAAGGGUGGGGUGUUUUGUUUUAACCAGGCUGAAUGGUGAAUAUAAAUUAUAUAAUUACACAGUAGCCCCUGUUCUACCUAUUUUGGUCUAGAUAAACUUUACUCUUUCCUGGUUUUCUUAGUGUCUCACUAUUUUUCUCAAUGAC
rnacentral:lncRNA from 1 species